ensembl:lncRNA
AAAUAACCUUCACAUUAAGCAGUGUCCGUCCUCAUCUUAGGUCACAGGUGGCUGGGCUCCUGGGGCCCAGAACGAGUAGAGUUAAUUGAACACAAGGCGCCCGUCAGCCUGCCUACGUGCUCGCCGCCUGAGUGGAACUGUGUAUUUCCAGCAAGCGAGAGACAGAAUAAUGCUGUGCCUUGUGUGCCCCGGCAAGGCUAUCACUGCUCUGCCGUUGCCAUGGUGACAGUGCCCUCGCUGGGUACAGCGGGCUGGAGAAGUUGCUCUGGCUCUGCGUCAUAUUUAUUCCAGUGGAUCCGUGCGCUCUCUCCCGCCCCCUCCUUUUUCUCUCCUCUGCGUUCUCUCUCUCUCUCUCUCUCUCUCUCUGUCCAUGCUUUUUAGGGCUAAUUGACCCAGCUCCAGAUCAUCAAUACGCCAAGCUUUGACUACCACAAACAGCACAGACUCUGAAAAGGUAAAAUGUGGUGAGGCAAACAAUGUGGAACUUGAUUAGAUUCAUUUGCUUUUAUUGAACUCAAGCUGUUUUAGUGUAAUCAACUGACUGCAUUUUGUGUUGUUUUUAUGCACUUAAUUGGAUCAAGGGUUGAUUGUACAUCCUUCCUCUCCAUUUCUCGACAGCGCGACUGGGAACACCAGCGUAACUGCGAGGGAAGGUGAGUGAGUGUCAGCGCACACAGGUAAACAUCUAAGCUUCCAUAAUGGUGGUGUCAGAGGAAAGACAGAGGAGGGAUCAUCUUUGUUUUCAGCAGAGUCGGAGUGUGAGAGCGUGUGACUGAGGACGAAGGAGAGGGAGGGAGGAAGGGAGGGAGAGCGGGACCUGAUUGUGCAGUCUGUGGCGAAGAGCAUCUCCCGAGGCUCAGGGCUUCAAAGCCAAUCUGUGGCUCUGAAAACAAAAAGCCAUUUCCUACAGCAGCGCAGAGAAACCCUUCAGUGUGAAAUUAUUCUCAGUGGAGUGGCUCUCUUUGUUCUUUGCUCGCUGUGUUUUGGACCGCAGCUCCUCUUGGCUGAAGAAAGUAAAUCAGCUGAGUUCAUUAAAGGCAUUUUAGAAAUACGCCAGAUGAGAGUCUGUGAAAUCAAGAGGUUGCUGAGUGCUCUCUCACUCCCCCCUCUCUGGAGUUGUCAGGCGGCUUUGACAGGGGACGUAAAGGACCAGUGGUGUGUGAAAUUCGGUAGUUAGAAGCACAGCCCACUGGAGGGAGAGGCUUUGAGAGGGGAAAGCGAGGGAGGCGUCGGAUCGAUCGCCGGACUGACGCGGAGCGGGUGCCAUGUGGACAGGGACCUCUGUCUGUCCUUUGGGACUAAGAGAAAGCCAAUGAGUCUUUAAAACAGGGAGGGCUGAAGAUGUGCACUUGAGCUUUUUAUACUUGCAAAGUGAACAACUUCAACAGUGUAUUGUUUGGUGUGAGUGUUCAGCCAGUUUUAGAUACUAAUUCCUUGAAGAAAUUAGACACCUUAGCACACCCUAAGGAGGCUGUUUCUCCAAUGUCCCAGUACUCCAGGUACGUUUUGCAUUUUUAAUCUAAACUGUCUGUAGCCAUUAAUUGAACCAUUUUCUUGUCUGUACAAAUAAAUGGCAGUUGCCACGUUUAUAGAACA